rnacentral:rRNA from 1 species
UGAGUACGAGCUGCUACGGCAGCGAAGUGGGUGACGUCAAGCUUCCAAGAAAAGCCCUAUACCCGUUAAGGCAUGAUGGCCUGUACCCGAAACCGACACAGGUGGGGUGGUAGAGAAUACCGAGGGGCGCGAGAUAACUCUCUCUAAGGAACUCGGCAAAAUGGCCCCGUAACUUCGGGAGAAGGGGUGCCACCGCAAGGUGGUCGCAGUGAAGAGGCCCAGGCGACUGUUUACCAAAAACACAGGUCUCCGCUAAGUCGCAAGACGAUGUAUGGGGGCUGACGCCUGCCCAGUGCCGGAAGGUUAAGGAAGCUGGUCAGCGUAAGCGAAGCUAGCGACUGAAGCCCCGGUGAACGGCGGCCGUAACGAUAACGGUCCUAAGGUAGCGAAAUUCCUUGUCGGGUAAGUUCCGACCCGCACGAAAGGCGUAACGAUCUGGGCGCUGUCUCGGAGAGAGGCUCGGCGAAAUAGAAUUGUCUGUGAAGAUGCGGACUACGUGCACCCGGACAGAAAGACCCUAUGAAGCUUUACUGUAGCUUGGUAUUGUGCUCGGGCUCGGAAUGCGCAGGAUAGGUGGGAGGCUAUGAACCAUUGCUUGUGGGUGAUGGUGAGCCACUGGUGAGAUACCACUCUUUCCGAGCUAGAGUUCUAACAGCCACCCGUUAUCCGGGGGCUGGACAGUAUCAGGUGGGCAGUUUGACUGGGGCGGUCGCCUCCUAAAAGGUAACGGAGGCGCGCAAAGGUUUGCUCAGGCUGGUUGGAAAUCAGCCGACGAGUGUAAAAGCAGAAGCAAGCUUGACUGUGAGACCUACAAGUCGAACAGGGAGGAAACUCGGCUUUAGUGAUCCGACGGUUCUGCGUGGAAGGGCCGUCGCUCAACGGAUAAAAGUUACUCUAAGGAUAACAGGCUGAUCUCCCCCAAGAGUUCACAUCGACGGGGAGGUUUGGCACCUCGAUGUCGGCUCAUCGCAACCUGGGGCUGAAGUCGGUCCCAAGGGUUGGGCUGUUCGCCCAUUAAAGCGGUACGCGAGCUGGGUUCAGAACGUCGUGAGACAGUUCGGUCCAUAUCCGGUGCAUGCGCAGGAAUAUUGAGAGGAUUUCUCCCUAGUACGAGAGGACCGGGAGGAACGCACCUCUGGUGUACCAGUUAUCGUGCCAACGGUAAACGCUGGGUAGCCAUGUGCGGAGAGGAUAACCGCUGAAAGCAUCUAAGUGGGAAGCCCACCUCAAGAUGAGUAUUCCCAUGGGUUAACCCAGUAAGGUCACGGGAAGAACACCCGUUGAUAGGCUCUACGUGGAAGCGCAGUAAUGUGUGAAGCGGAGGAGUACUAAUAGACC